AAAAGUAAGUAAGGGCACAUGGCGGAUGCCUUGGCUCUCGGAGGCGAUGAAGGACGUGAUAAGCUGCGAUAAGCCGCGGGUAGGUGCAAAUGACCUUUGAUCCGCGGAUUUCCGAAUGGGACAACCCAAUAUCCUGAAGGGAUAUCAUCCCGCAAUGCGGGAGGCUAACGCAGGGAACUGAAACAUCUUAGUACCUGCAGGAAAAGAAAAUAAAUAAUGAUUCCCCCAGUAGUGGCGAGCGAACGGGGAACAGCCCAAACCAUCCAUGUUACGGCAUGUGUGGGGUUGUAGGACCACGUUGUGGCAAGAAAGUUGGUGAGCAGAAUGUUCUGGAAAGUACAGCCAUAGAGCAUGAUAGCUGCGUAUGCGAAGCCAACCGAAGCCUAGUGGUAUCCUGAGUAGCGCGGAGCACGAGGAAUUCUGCGUGAAUCUGCCGGGACCAUCCGGUAAGGCUAAAUACUCCCGAGAGACCGAUAGUGAACCAGUACUGUGAAGGAAAGGUGAAAAGCACUUCGAACAGAAGAGUGAAAUAGUUCCUGAAACCAUGUGCCUACAAGCGGUCGGAGCACUUUUAGUGUGACGGCGUGCCUUUUGCAUAAUGAACCUACGAGUUACUUUUUCCGGCGAGGUUAAGGAUCUCAGAUCCGCAGCCGAAGCGAAAGCGAGUCUGAACAGGGCGUAUAGUCGGAAGGAGUAGACGCGAAACCAAGUGAUCUACCCUUGGGCAGGUUGAAGGAUGGGUAACACCAUCUGGAGGACCGAACCAAUAAGCGUUGAAAAGCUUCUGGAUGACCUGAGGGUGGGGGUGAAAGGCUAAUCAAACUUGGAGAUAGCUCGUACUCCCCGAAAUGCAUUUAGGUGCAGCCUUGACUUAUACUGACAUGAGGUAGAGCGACUGAUAAGAUGCGAGGGCUUCACCGCCUAUCAAGUCUUGACAAACUCCGAAUGCGUGUCAGUUCUAUGUCAGGAGUGAGGGCAUGGGUGCUAAGGUCCAUGUCCUAAAGGAGAACAAUCCGGACCAACAGCUAAGGUCCCGAAAUGAAUACUAAGUUGAACUAACGAAGUCAGAUUGCUAAGACAGCUAGGAUGUUGGCUUGGAAGCAGCCAUUCAUUUAAAGAGUGCGUAACAGCUCACUAGUCGAGGAGUUUGGCGUGGAUAAUAAUCGGGCAUAAGUAUUCUACCGAAGCUUUGGGAUGAGAAAUCAUCGGUAGGGGAGCAUUCCACUCUGCGUCGAAGGUAAGGCGUGAGCCUUGCUGGAGCGUGUGGAAAAGCAAAUGUAGGUAUAAGUAACGAUAAAGGGGGUGGGAAACCCCCUCGCCGAAAGACUAAGGUUUCCUGAUCAACGCUAAUCGGAUCAGGGUAAGUCGGGUCCUAAGGCUCAGCCGAACGGCGAGGCCGAUGGCAGAACCGGUUAAUAUUCCGGUACUACCUUAAGGAGUGACGUGGAGACGGAGUCGUGACAGCGCCGCGGACUGACGGAAUAGUCCGUUGAAGGGUGUAGAUGUUGAUUGUUCCAGGCAAAUCCGGAACGAGAGUCGAACCUGACAGUAUGGAGCGUCCUUCUGGACAAUCCAAUAGUGCGUGUAAUCAUACUUCCAAGAAAAUCCGCUAAACUUAAUCCUUACGGUACCCGUACCGCAAACGGACACACGUAGUCGGGUUGAAUAUACUAAGGCGCUUGAGUGAUUCACGGUUAAGGAACUAGGCAAACUGACCCUGUAACUUCGGGAUAAAGGGUCCUCAAGCAAUUGAGGCGCAGAGAAUAGGUCCAGGCAACUGUUUAACAAAAACACAGGGCUGUGCAAAAUUGAAAGAUGAAGUAUACAGCCUGACACCUGCCCGGUGCUGGAAGGUUAAGAGGAGACGUCAUCGCAAGAGAAGCGUUGAAUUGAAGCCCCAGUAAACGGCGGCCGUAACUAUAACGGUCCUAAGGUAGCGAAAUUCCUUGUCGGGUAAGUUCCGACCUGCACGAAUGGUGUAAUGAUCUGGACGCUGUCUCAACCGUGAGCUCAGUGAAAUUGUAGUAUCGGUGAAGAUGCCGAUUACCCGCGAUGGGACGAAAAGACCCCGUGAACCUUUACUAUAG
rnacentral:rRNA from 1 species